rnacentral:lncRNA from 1 species
GUAGAAAUGCAGAAAUUGUUAUCAAAAUCCACGACAAUGUGGUAAUAAACAUGUUUCUAUUUUUUGAAAAAUUUGCGAUGCAUAUGAACGAUAGAGAGCUGUUAGGGAGUUGCAUUCACUCUAACGAAAUCGUUCGAGAUGAGGGUAAUCCAUACUAUGUACCGCCACAUUACCUGAAAGGAAUGAUAUAUUAUCCCCUACCUUACUUAAGUGGGCUGGCCGUUAUUUUACCUGGUAAUCUUAUUCCUCUAUAUUUUAACGCCUCAAUGACGAGUGAGUUCUUCCCCAUAGAGGAUUACUUUUUGUAUGGUAUUCUUACUGACAAGAUUAAUAGUGACCUUUCUGACACGAGUAAAGUUAUGUUUAAAGAUUUGAAAAAGUUUAUCACUUCAAACGAAAAAAAAUGGAUACACUGCUAUCUUUCGUUGAAAGGGAAUUGCAAUUUAUUAAUAGUUUAUCAAGAACAACAUCGACUGGACACAGAACGCGUUUGGAAUGUUAUCGCCAAGAACAGGAUACAGAGUUCAAGUGGUCAAUCUGUUAUGAAGUAAAUGAGUUCGCUUCUAUGUUGUUUAAUGUUUUGAGCGAGCUAUUAAUGGUGCCUGACUAUACGCAACUAGAUGACCAGGGAAAAUUAACAUUUCUAAUGGUGAAC